rnacentral:lncRNA from 1 species
GAAAAGAUAACUUUGCUGUUCAGAGAGUGUUGAAGCCUGGUAUACUUGGCAUGGUAAGACCUUUCUAUUUACUUAUCUAGUGAUCAUAUAGAGAAGAAUGUAAAACUUUUAUACAGAAUUUAAUCAGAACGUUUUAGAUAACUGUCUAGUAUAUCGCUGUGACUACAUAUGAAGUACCAGAACCACUAGAUGUCUGGGAAUGUCAUUACUUAUAUUUCCUCUGAUACUCUUUUAGCAGGAUUUGUCUGUCAAUGUCACCCUGAAACAAUGGAAUGACAGUAUUUACAGUUAACUCAGUGAUAAGUGAGAAUUUCAGUUGCUAUUUCAUUUUUUUUUAUGUUUCUUGCUAAACACCUCUCUUUAGUCAUGUUGCAUUCUUGACAGUUAAAACGAUUUUGGACCAAAACCAUAGCUAACACACAAUAUGCUUUAUUUUAACUUUCAGUGUUUCAAUAGAGCCACAAUGGGUUCGAGAAUCUCUACAUGAUGUGUUGCCAAAAGGGAAUUAUGAGGUCUUCAUUGAAACGAAUUCAGACGACAGCCAAACUGUGGAAAAAUGUAAAGUCAACAUUACAACUGAAGUGAAAUAGGGGGAAACGCAUGAGAGUAGCUGCUGCCUUGGCUAAUGGGGAUCCAUAAUAAAUACAAAUGCAAGACAACUAAGUAACUCAAGCUCUGAAAGCUCUUUCAUGCCAACAAACGCUAAAUUCAAGUCAGGAUAUUGAGUCACUAAUGAAGGAUGUGAUGACUACAUCCACUAGGGUGCACUGUAAGUCAAGUAAAAAGAGAAACAAGCCAGUGUAGUAUUCCACAAUCAUGAAACAAACAACAUAUAUUGUAUGUAGCUAUGGAAUAAGUAAUUCAGAAAAUGUUAUCUUAUUUCUUUAAAAAAAAAAUACUUUGCUAUUUGGACAAAUCAAUAAAUACCACAAAAGGGACUUUUCAUGAUGCCAGUUGAAGGCACUGGCAGGAACACGUGGAAAUAUUUUCAGCCUGUGAGGAUCAGCCAGAAAGGAAAGCCACUAUCCCCUCCCUGACUCCCAGCCCGUCAGCCGGCCAUUUUGGUCCUCCACUGGGACUCAUGGGGAUGCACAUUAUCAGCUGCUGAGUAUUGUCAUUCAUUGAGGAACUGAUCUGAUACAGAUUUGAUUUCUGUAUGCACUGCUCUAACCAAACAAAGGAGGAGCAAUACUUAGAUAUAAAACUCCAGCACACACUGUUUGUGACCUUUUUGAUAAACAAAUCAAUUGUAAUCAGUUAAAUUUGAUGUUCCUAUGUUGCUGCAAUGUUUGGUAUGUUAUACUGUGUGUGUGUGAUUGCUAGGGAGCCUUGCCACAUGUGAGUCAUUUAUUUAAUUCAACAAUGUUCUUG